GGCCUGCGCGGAAGAUGUAACGGGGCUAAACCAUGCACCGAAGCUGCGGCAGCGACGCUUAUGCGUUGUUGGGUAGGGGAGCGUUCUGUAAGCCUGUGAAGGUGUACUGUGAGGUAUGCUGGAGGUAUCAGAAGUGCGAAUGCUGACAUAAGUAACGAUAAAGCGGGUGAAAAGCCCGCUCGCCGGAAGACCAAGGGUUCCUGUCCAACGU
rnacentral:rRNA from 1 species